CCCUUAGAUGUUCUGGGCCGCACGCGCGCUACACUGACGAAUGCAACGAGCUUAUAACCUUGGCCGAAAGGUCUGGGUAAUCUCCAAAUUUCGUCGUGAUGGGGAUAGAUUAUUGCAAUUAUUAAUCCUCAACGAGGAAUGCCUAGUAAGCGCAAGUCAUCAGCUUGCGUUGAUUACGUCCCUGCCCUUUGUACACACCGCCCGUCGCUCCUACCGAUUGAAUGGUCCGGUGAAGCGCUCGGACCGCGGCCUCUUGACGGUUUUCCGUCGAUUGGCUGUGGGAAGUUCGUUAAACCUUAUCAUUUAGAGGAAGGAGAAGUCGUAACA
rnacentral:rRNA from 1 species